UACAUGUGGGGCAAGCGUUGUUCGGAAUUACUGGGCAUAAAGGGCGCGUAGGCGGCUCGCGAGGUCGGGGGUGAAAUCCCGCAGCUUAACUGCGGAAGGGCCUCCGAUACCGGCGGGCUGGAGGAAGGUAGGGGUGCGCGGAACUUCUGGUGGAGCGGUGAAAUGCGUUGAUAUCAGAAGGAACGCCGGCGGCGAAAGCGGCGCACUGGACCUUUUCUGACGCUGAGGCGCGAAAGCUAGGGGAGCAAACGGG
rnacentral:rRNA from 1 species